AUACAGAGGGUGCAAGCGUUAUUCGGAAUUACUGGGCGUAAAGCGCGCGUAGGCGGAUGAUUAAGUCAGUUGUGAAAGCCCUGUGCUCAACCUAGGAACUGCAUCUGAUACUGGUCGUCUAGAGUUUAAGAGAGGGAAGUGGAAUUCCAGGUGUAGCAGUGAAAUGCGUAGAUAUCUGGAGGAACAUCAGUGGCGAAGGCGACUUCCUGGCUUAAAACUGACGCUGAGGUGCGAAAGCGUGGGUAGCGAACGGGAUUAGAAACCCUAGUAGUCC
rnacentral:rRNA from 1 species